GAUGAACGCUAGCUACAGGCUUAACACAUGCAAGUCGAGGGGCAGCAUGGAGUUUGCUUGCAAACUCUGAUGGCGACCGGCGCACGGGUGAGUAACGCGUAUCCAACCUUCCCCGUAGUAGGGCAUAGCCCGGUGAAAAUCGGAUUAAUACCCUAUGUUUUCCGAAGCGGGCAUCUAAUUCGGAGCAAAGGUUUACCGCUAUGGGAUGGGGAUGCGUCUGAUUAGGUAGUCGGCGGGGUAACGGCCCACCGAGCCAUCGAUCAGUAGGGGUUCUGAGAGGAAGGUCCCCCACAUUGGAACUGAGACACGGUCCAAACUCC
rnacentral:rRNA from 1 species